rnacentral:lncRNA from 1 species
UGGGACCGCAGGGCUCGGUGAUGAAACAGGGUGUGCGCUCACGUGCAGCAGCGUCGGGGGCUCCUCACCGUUCCAGUCUGUAGUGUGACUUCGGGAUGGCACUUCGUUGAGGCCAAAUCUCAGACCUUAUUCCUGCCAUCACUGAAGAGUGAGUUUGUUAACCGGUGACCAGCUGUAGGAAAGCAAGGCUGCACCACGACAAGAGAUACAAUGACAGGCGUCUCCAGUUUAACGUGCUGACACAGAACCUCCCGUCGUCUUCCUGAUUUCCAUGCACGGUGCCACCACAGUUCACUCACUUGCGUCGGCGUCACACUAGGAAUCUUCCGUCAUCCCUCACCGUCUGGGUCCCACUCAGCAGCCAGCACCAUCAGCUUGUCUUCGCUGAGUGUUACCUCUGUCCAGCCUUCCAAACCAGACCCUGCAGCGCCUCUUGGGAACGCCCUGCGGAAGAUCUGUGCUGAUGCCUCACCACCUGCAGGACAGAAGUGCAGACUCCUGCCCGGGUUCUACAGAUCCUGAUUGAGUAGUGAUUGCUGUGUUCCAGGCUUUAGUCUAGGCUGUUGCCAUACGUCAGUGCAUGGAACAGAUAAAGAUCCCUACAUUCUAGCAGGAAAAGACAAGCAGUAAGAAACAAAGAAAUGACUUACCCGGGAUCACACCUGAGAAAUCACCAGGGUCAUUUCACGCCCGAUUCCAUGUGACUCCAGUUCUAUGUGACACCCUUUGAAGUGGUUGGGAUCCAGACAUGAGGUCACAAUCAACUAAUUCACCUUUCAAAUGUUUUUUGAACCUCGACUGAAUGCUGGCACUGUGCUGGUUCUUACCGUCAGGAGCUUAGAUUCCAGUCGGAGGGACAGAGCAAAGAAGUGAACAAAGUCAAUAUGUGCUAUAAAGUAAAUAUGCGUUUUUAAUAAAGAAUGGUUAUGA